AUUUACUGCUUUUAAUUAUUUGGAUUGAUGUCUUAACAGCCUAGAUCCUGUCUUCUUUGCACAGCUCCUCUAAGAGAAUGUAGUGCUUUUCACCAAAGGGUUUGUCUCGGAGGCUGCAGUCUUAACGUUUCUGGGAUCCAUCAGUAAGUACUGGCAACCGAACGCCCAGCAUAACAUUGGAGGGUGGUGGCCAUCCUGUAAAAAUGUAAUUUCCGAAGUGGAGUGUGACUUCAUCAAGCCAAGAAGCUCUGCUGAAGGGUGAUUUGGAGGUUCCCUUUGAACACAGGUCAGAACUGACUGUGGCACUAUUCACCAGCCCACUGCGUGAUCGUUUUGCCUGGGYCUUUGAAAAUGCAUCUGCCUUAAUCACAUCUCCCCAGGAGUCUAUUCUAAAUCCUUUGACUUGAGCAAGUUCUYGCCAGCUUCAGUGGCAGAUGGAGUCACUUGA